GGUUAAGCGACUAAGCGUACACGGUGGAUGCCCUGGCAGUCAGAGGCGAUGAAGGGCGUGCUAAUCUGCGAUAAGCGCCGGUAAGGUGAUAUGAACCGUUAUAACCGGCGAUACCCGAAUGGGGAAACCCAGUGUGAUUCGUCACACUAUCAUUAACUGAAUCCAUAGGUUAAUGAGGCGAACCGGGGGAACUGAAACAUCUAAGUACCCCGAGGAAAAGAAAUCAACCGAGAUUCCCCCAGUAGCGGCGAGCGAACGGGGAGGAGCCCAGAGCCUGAAUCAGCAUGUGUGUUAGUGGAAGCGUCUGGAAAGGCGCGCGAUACAGGGUGACAGCCCCGUACACAAAAGCGCAUGUGCUGUGAGCUCGAUGAGUAGGGCGGGACACGUGGUAUCCUGUCUGAAUAUGGGGGGACCAUCCUCCAAGGCUAAAUACUCCUGACUGACCGAUAGUGAACCAGUACCGUGAGGGAAAGGCGAAAAGAACCCCGGCGAGGGGAGUGAAAAAGAACCUGAAACCGUGUACGUACAAGCAGUGGGAGCACAGGUUUACCUGUGUGACUGCGUACCUUUUGUAUAAUGGGUCAGCGACUUAUAUUCUGUAGCAAGGUUAACCGUAUAGGGGAGCCGGAGGGAAACCGAGUCUUAAUUGGGCGUUAAGUUGCAGGGUAUAGACCCGAAACCCGGUGAUCUAGCCAUGGGCAGGUUGAAGGUUGGGUAACACUAACUGGAGGACCGAACCGACUAAUGUUGAAAAAUUAGCGGAUGACCUGUGGCUGGGGGUGAAAGGCCAAUCAAACCGGGAGAUAGCUGGUUCUCCCCGAAAGCUAUUUAGGUAGCGCCUCGUGAAUUCAUCUCCGGGGGUAGAGCACUGUUUCGGCUAGGGGGCCAUCCCGGCUUACCAACCCGAUGCAAACUGCGAAUACCGGAGAAUGUUAUCACGGGAGACACACGGCGGGUGCUAACGUCCGUCGUGAAGAGGGAAACAACCCAGACCGCCAGCUAAGGUCCCAAAGUCAUGGUUAAGUGGGAAACGAUGUGGGAAGGCCCAGACAGCCAGGAUGUUGGCUUAGAAGCAGCCAUCAUUUAAAGAAAGCGUAAUAGCUCACUGGUCGAGUCGGCCUGCGCGGAAGAUGUAACGGGGCUAAACCAUGCACCGAAGCUGCGGCAGCGACGCUGAUGCGUUGUUGGGUAGGGGAGCGUUCUGUAAGCCUGCGAAGGUGACCUGUGAGGGUUGCUGGAGGUAUCAGAAGUGCGAAUGCUGACAUAAGUAACGAUAAAGCGGGUGAAAAGCCCGCUCGCCGGAAGACCAAGGGUUCCUGUCCAACGUUAAUCGGGGCAGGGUGAGUCGACCCCUAAGGCGAGGCCGAAAGGCGUAGUCGAUGGGAAACGGGUUAAUAUUCCCGUACUUGGUGUUACUGCGAAGGGGGGACGGAGAAGGCUAUGUUGGCCGGGCGACGGUUGUCCCGGUUUAAGCGUGUAGGUGUGUGUUCCAGGUAAAUCCGGUUCACUUUAACACUGAGGCGUGACGACGAGGCACUACGGUGCUGAAGCAACAAAUGCCCUGCUUCCAGGAAAAGCCUCUAAGCAUCAGGUAACAUCAAAUCGUACCCCAAACCGACACAGGUGGUCAGGUAGAGAAUACCAAGGCGCUUGAGAGAACUCGGGUGAAGGAACUAGGCAAAAUGGUGCCGUAACUUCGGGAGAAGGCACGCUGACACGUAGGUGAAGUGAUUUACUCAUGGAGCUGAAGUCAGUCGAAGAUACCAGCUGGCUGCAACUGUUUAUUAAAAACACAGCACUGUGCAAACACGAAAGUGGACGUAUACGGUGUGACGCCUGCCCGGUGCCGGAAGGUUAAUUGAUGGGGUCAGCGCAAGCGAAGCUCCUGAUCGAAGCCCCGGUAAACGGCGGCCGUAACUAUAACGGUCCUAAGGUAGCGAAAUUCCUUGUCGGGUAAGUUCCGACCUGCACGAAUGGCGUAAUGAUGGCCAGGCUGUCUCCACCCGAGACUCAGUGAAAUUGAACUCGCUGUGAAGAUGCAGUGUACCCGCGGCAAGACGGAAAGACCCCGUGAACCUUUACUAUAGCUUGACACUGAACAUUGAGCCUUGAUGUGUAGGAUAGGUGGGAGGCUUUGAAGUGUGGACGCCAGUCUGCAUGGAGCCGACCUUGAAAUACCACCCUUUAAUGUUUGAUGUUCUAACGUGGACCCGUAAUCCGGGUUGCGGACAGUGUCUGGUGGGUAGUUUGACUGGGGCGGUCUCCUCCUAAAGAGUAACGGAGGAGCACGAAGGUUGGCUAAUCCUGGUCGGACAUCAGGAGGUUAGUGCAAUGGCAUAAGCCAGCUUGACUGCGAGCGUGACGGCGCGAGCAGGUGCGAAAGCAGGUCAUAGUGAUCCGGUGGUUCUGAAUGGAAGGGCCAUCGCUCAACGGAUAAAAGGUACUCCGGGGAUAACAGGCUGAUACCGCCCAAGAGUUCAUAUCGACGGCGGUGUUUGGCACCUCGAUGUCGGCUCAUCACAUCCUGGGGCUGAAGUAGGUCCCAAGGGUAUGGCUGUUCGCCAUUUAAAGUGGUACGCGAGCUGGGUUUAGAACGUCGUGAGACAGUUCGGUCCCUAUCUGCCGUGGGCGCUGGAGAACUGAGGGGGGCUGCUCCUAGUACGAGAGGACCGGAGUGGACGCAUCACUGGUGUUCGGGUUGUCAUGCCAAUGGCACUGCCCGGUAGCUAAAUGCGGAAGAGAUAAGUGCUGAAAGCAUCUAAGCACGAAACUUGCCCCGAGAUGAGUUCUCCCUGAGACUUAGAGUCUCCUGAAGGAACGUUGAAGACGACGACGUUGAUAGGCCGGGUGUGUAAGCGCAGCGAUGCGUUGAGCUAACCGGUACUAAUGAACCGUGAGGCUUAACCUU
rnacentral:rRNA from 1 species